AUGGGGCCAUGUGAGUGUGUUGGUGUCAGUCUGAAAGAGAUCUCUGCUCCCAGCACCUCGGGUCUCCACCGUGGCCACACGAUGUCUGGGAGGUCUCCAUGCCAGGAGGUCUCUCUCCAUCCCAGGAGGUCUCCAUUCCAAGAGGUCUCCAUGCCAGGAGGUCUCUCUCCAUGCCAGGAGGUCUCUCUCCAUCCCGGGAGGUCUCUCUCAAUCCCAGGAGGUCUCUCUCCAUCCCGGGAGGUCUCUCUCAAUCCCAGGAGGUCUCUCUCCAUGCCAGGAGGUCUCUCUCUGUCCCAGGAGGUCUCUCUCCAUCCCGGGAGGUCUCCAUCCCGCCCCGCUGCCAGGAGGAGCCGCUCCCCCUGCCCCUCUGCUCCGCCGCCGCCCCCGCCCGCCUGCAAACCCCUGAGACAUUUUUGUAGCAAGAAUUUCUUGGCUCUGAGAAAGACACUUCUUACUGUAAUAUUUUUAGUUUGGGGGACAAUAUUUCCUAAGAGGGGUUAAGUGGAUAUUUUUGUGCUUUAGCCCAGUUUAUGGAUUCCAUGUUUAUUAUACAGUAGUACUGAAGAGGAAGUACAUUUGUAUCUGUAACUUUGCACAGACUCUUGGUUAACCAUUAAACGAGCUUCAAGAUGAGCAGUAUUUGACUGUUUUUCUCUGUAUUAUUCUUGUUGUUAUACCUACCUGUAAAAGCACAUUCUGUAUGUACUGUAAACAAAAAUAUUAUCAGUUUAGUAAAAUUUAGAGUCUUAAGGAUUUUUCCACUUUUGUCAGUAACAACUAUUUAUGGAUUAAAAAAUAAAGGCAAUUUCAACAUAUAAAUUGUUUCUUUUUGAUAUCUAUUGGGGGCAAAUAAAAGCCAUUUUCUUGGCAGCCUUCCCAAUCUUUGUAACCAGCGUUUGAAAGGUAGAUAUCUGUGGUUCUAUGUGUAGUUAAAUAGCAUCUAUUAAAAUGAAUGCUGCAAGGUCUGGAAGACUCAUUAUUUUUAUGUAUUUAUUUACUGCAUUUCAUCAUCGUGCCAGGAACAAUCAGGGGAAUCAGAGACACAUUACCAUUUGCUGUAAAAUUUAGUCUCACAAGCCUAGAGGAUUUUAUUUUAAAGUUGCCCUUCUUUAAGUUUGCCUCCAUAAUCCAUGAUAUUGUCUCCAUCUAGAAAGCCUUGGGUUGCAAAGCUGGAACUUGUGGAAUGUCCCACAGCGGUGAGGCUUCCACAAGGGCUUUGCUUUUGCUCUCAGCAGUGGAGCACACACAGGAGUUUCCCCAUCACCCUUCCAGGAUGUGGAAGUGCCAGGGAGCUCAGGGUGGGUGUGACUGAGCGGCCCCCACUGCCACCCCGGAGGGGCAAACUGCAUUUUCAUUUCUACCACCUCUGAGCCUGGGCUUCCUUACCGCUCUGUCCAGCUGGGAAACGUGGCAGGGGUUCUUUCCUUGCCUUUUGUGAAGGAAAUGUAAAAUUCCAUAUUUCGCAUUGCUGAUAUCCCAGGGAUCCUUCCCACCGCUGCCUUGUGCGGGGCAGAGGUUGUCACCUCUCUACCACUCACUCACCAAGCCCCAGCUCUGUUUUCCGUCUUUGAUCUGGCACAUUGGGAUUGCCCAGCCUGGAAAACAGAAGGUUUCAGGAUGACCUGACUUUCAGUGUCUGAAUGGAGCCAACAAGAAAGAUGAAGAGAGGCUAUUUACAAGGGAUGGAGUGACAGGACAAGGGAGAAUGGCUUCAUGCAGAGACAGUAGGUUUACAUCGGAUAUUAGGAAGGAAUUGUUCCCUGGGAGGGUGGGCAGGCCCUGGCACAGGGUGCCCAGAGCAGCUGAGGCUGCCCCUGGAUCCCUGGCAGUGGCCAAGGCCAGGCUGGACACUGGGGCUGGGAGCAGCCUGGGACAGUGGGAGGUGUCCCUGCCAUGGCAGGGGUGGGGCUGGGUGAUCUUUCAUGUCCCUUCUAACCCACCCCAGUCUGUAAUUCAAUGAUUCCGUAUCUUUCUGUUUCUUUGCUGCUCAGCUUUAGUAGACCAAACUUCAGUAGAUCAAACAAGCUUUGAGGAGCAACACCCCACAAUCAUCUUCCAGGGUAGGUCCAGAGGGAAGACAAAGCCCUUUUGCAGCCCUUUGGCCAAGCUUGUGGUCUCCUGUGUGAGCACAGCACAGUCAGUAAGGCACAGUCAGCUCUUCCUAAGGAGCACAUGAACCCAACAGAGUUAAUUAAAAUGCAUUUUUAAAGGAGAAGUUUCGUUUUGCCUGGCAGUUCUAUUCAUAAUUACCCAAUUCCGUGUAGCACUAAUAAGUGGGGAUGGAGCAAUGGGGAAUUAGCUAAUUUCUGCACUUCCCAUAAAAGGCAUCGAGGAGAACAUCAGGAUUUGUGGUGUUGAGAGCAAGUGGUGACAGAGAUGAAGCUGGGAUGAAUUCCUACCUCAAAAGACAGCAAAUCCCACUGUUCCCAGUCCCUGUGCUAAUUGAUGCCAGCACUUAGGUGCAGAGCUCACUGUUUGUUGAGCAGCCUUCCCUCAAGCCGCCUUCACUGGCCUCACUGAGUGACCUCUUCAGCUGCCUUGGUGGUGGCCAGAAGUGGCUCAGGUGGCCUGGGCAGCCUGGCAUCACCCCUGAUGAGGGUAGGACAUCCCAAGUGUGACUGGAGGGACACUUUGGUGGCUGUCCCAGGACAGGAAGAGCCCCUGGCCAGCACCAGGGCAGCUCUGUCACCACCCUGGGUGGUGCAGUGGGAUCACAGCUCAUCCCCACUGUGUGGGGGAGAUCCCACGUGCCCUCGCUGGGGAAUGGGGCACAGGGCAGACCUGACCAGAGGGACAGGCUGAGCAGGGCCCUGCGACCCAGCGGGGACCUCACUGGGGGCCCGGAGGCAGCAGAGAACACGAUCAGCUGAUGGACAUUUAUCUGGAAGGACUGGAGAGUGGGAGUGAUGGGAUGGGUGUGGAGUCCCCUGAGGAGCAACAAAGCUGGGUUUUGUCCAUUUUCCUCAGCCACAGGCCACUCGUACAGCAGGGGCCUGGUGUCACCUUGUCACAUAGGUGCUGGCACAGAGCCAUUCCAUUGGCAAAGCAGCAAUUCCUCCGUGUGGGAAGGCUUGGGAUCCUCAUGCAUGAAAAAAGAGAGGGUUGUGUCCAGCCUUGAAAGGCAGAAUCCACUAAAACUGCUGGGAGGCCCCAAAGGUGCUGUUGAAGUGAGAGUGGCCACUCCAUCCAUCCCAUCUUCCCAGCAGCUCUCACACUCUUCCUGGGCCUCAGCAAAACACACGGGGAUGUUUCCCAAGCCGAAGGAUUAGCACUGCUCCCUGUUGCCUCAGAAAGAUGCUGGAAAAUGAUGAGGAAAUUAAGGGCUAUGGGAUAAUUAACACCUGUCAGCCAUGGGUUUAAAAAAAGCAGAUCUUGUCAAACAAACUCAAAAUCAGUUCUCUAUAAAGUUCUUACAGCUGGGGCUGGCAGGAUGAUGGGGAGGUGCAACGAUUCCUCCUUUCCCACAGCACUGGAGCCUGUGCUGCUGGAUAAACUGAGGGAGAAUUUUAUCACUGCACAUCCUUGAGGGAGCUGGUGUCAAAGGGCUGCAGCACAGAGGGACUGGAGGAGCUUAGAGAGGGGUUUCACCCUCUGAAGUGCCACCUCAAGUGGUGUUUGGCAGAACUCAGGG
rnacentral:lncRNA from 13 species